rnacentral:tRNA from 5 species
GGGAGUUUAGCUCAGCUGGGAGAGCAUCUGCCUUACAAGCAGAGGGUCAGCGGUUCGAUCCCGUUAAUUCCCA